UUCAAGAUGGCGGUGCAGGAAUCGGCGGCUCAGUUGUCCAUGACCCUGAAGGUCCAGGAGUACCCGACCCUCAAGGUGCCCUACGAGACGCUGAACAAACGCUUUCGCGCCGCUCAGAAGAACAUUGACCGGGAGACCAGCCACGUCACCAUGGUGGUGGCCGAGCUGGAGAAGACGCUGAGCGGCUGCCCCGCCGUGGACUCCGUGGUCAGCCUGCUGGACGGCGUGGUGGAGAAGCUCAGCGUCCUCAAGAGGAAGGCGGUGGAAUCCAUCCAGGCCGAGGACGAGAGCGCCAAGCUGUGCAAGCGCCGGAUCGAGCACCUCAAAGAGCACAGCAGCGACCAGCCCGCGGCGGCCAGCGUGUGGAAGAGGAAGCGCAUGGAUCGCAUGAUGGUGGAGCACCUGCUGCGUUGUGGCUACUACAACACGGCCGUCAAGCUGGCGCGCCAGAGCGGCAUCGAGAGCUGCCUGGAGUUCAGCCUCAGAAUCCAGGAGUUCAUUGAACUCAUCCGGCAGAAUAAGAGACUGGACGCUGUGAGUGGGCCAGGUGGCCGAGUGUUCCACAGAGGGCCCAUUUGGAGAAGUGGGCGUCUCGCGAUGAGGUGCUGAGGGUGGUCCCCAAGAUGCACGGCAGAACCACGGCAAGUCCCUGCCCUUGCGUGGACCCUGGAGAGGCCCGGGGUCCUGCUCCGGCUCCUGAUGCCAACAUGGGCGCAUGGUGGCAGGUCAGGCCUCGUCUUCACGCACGAGGGAGCCAGGCCUGCAACGAGGUCCCUUCUGUGCCUGAGAGGGCUAAAGCGGGGAUCUCGGGACCCAGGCCAGUGGAGAGUGGCGUGUGAGCGUUGCGGGGACACGGCCAGGGGCCCCCUGUCAAGAGGAGGGGCUCCCGCUCUGCUCUGGCCUCAGUGUGGCCUCGGUGCCUGUGUCGCUGGCCUCUGUCCGGCGGCAGUCUGCUUCCAUCCCGAGUCAGCCUCCGUCUCCUUGAGGGCCCCGGCAACUGUCAGCCCUGGAGUCUGAAAACAAAACGUGUCCAUCCCGGAGUCCCUCCGUCACAGGUGUCUUCAUCUAGGUGGCAGCUGGUUCCGCAUAGGGUCUAUUGACCUGUUACCCCCACUCCGCAUAGGGUCUAUUUGCCUGUGUUACCCCGGCUCCGUGUAGGGUCUGUUUACCUGUGUUACCCCC
rnacentral:sRNA from 1 species